ACAGUCUCAGUUGGGUAAUGAAACGGAGAGUGUUAGCUUUGAUAUUCGACCUUCAGAUGCCAUUAACAUUGCAGUAAUAUGCAAGGCUAUUAGCCCGUGAAGGAAUCAAUGCAGAGCAGUUUGCUCAGGAUCUUAAAUCUUUUGAAUUAAAGAUGACUUUUGAAGAUGUGUUCCCUGCUGAGGCAACAAUCGUGGAAGAGUAUCUGCAACAGUCACAGAAUGUUAUAGGUGAACUAUGAAGCAAAUGGUUGGGUUGCACAUCAGGUGUCAGAUAUAUGGGCAAAAACAUCUCCUGACUAAGGUCAGGCUAUUUGGGCUUUAUGGCAAAUGGGUGGAGCAUGGCUUUGUACUCAUCUAUGGGAGCAUUAUACUUGUACUAUGGACAAAGUAAGAUUUGCUUAUACCUAUAAUGGGAGCAUUAUACUUAUACUUGCUGGGCUGUUGCUGCUGUAAUGUUGCUGUGAGGCAGCUGCUACUAGAUGUUGGUCUGCUGGAUAAGUUUGUGGGUGAUUUUCAUGCCGUUCUUCCUGUCUUUGUUAGUUUCAUGUUUUCAUUUUGUUAUCGGUUGUUUCUAAUGUGGGUUCACAAUUUGGAUGUAUUUGGGUAUUUUAAUGACUUUACCGUUUUAGGUUUUAUACAUUGCUUUUAAAAGCAGUAUUAGUAGUGUUUUUUUUGCUUGCACAUUAACUUUAGGUGAUUUCAUAUCAAUGUUAUUAGUUUGUAAUAGUGGUGCCUAAGGGAUGCCUCUUGUAAAUCUGUAAAUCUUAUAAAAAUAUAUAAAUUAUUUUCAAUUA